rnacentral:lncRNA from 1 species
CUGCUGUGAUAGGAGUAUGUCAGUAAGGUAACAUGACAGAUUUAGACUGGAUCAGCCUUUUCCUAUUUGCUCCGUACUCUUAGUACCCUCAAGGGAUUUGGCUUGCUUUAUGGUCAUUGAUUAACAAGGUUCUCAUUUGUACAUGCAUGUGUGGCAGAAAGAAAAGCAGCCGAAGGGGCGCCUCCCACCUGGUACCACCCAACUUCCUCUUAAGCGGCGCCACCCGGUGGCGCCCCAACCGCUAGUUACAAUGUUGUGUGGCUGCUAGCUCUAGUCCCAUGCGAUUCUUCUCCACUCUUAGCUUUAGUUUCUACAUACGUCAUGUGUGGUAAGUACAUGUCUACCAAGCAAUUGUAGAGAUUGUCUUGUCUCAUUAAUUCAGAAUAUUAUCUCUAAAUUGUAGCAAUCUCUAUUGUACGCAGGAAAGAAGAUGACUUGGCUUAACAGCGAAGCCCAAUUGCGUUGCAGAUCAUAAGUAGAGGGGGACCAAGGCGAUAUUAUUGUGAUUUACCAGAGGAACGAUAUUUCCCAACUUAGAGAGAAUAGAGAUUAUCUUGUCUCAUUAAUUCAGAAUAUUAUCGGUCAAUAUUACAUACACAAAAUUACAAUCAAACCGAGAAAUGGAGAGGAAUGUGAAAACAAUAACUAAAGACCGAUUUGAAGAGGAUAGUUGGAACCUCAAUCAGAAAGAUUUUUU